rnacentral:rRNA from 1 species
AGUGGCUUACCAAGGCUUUGACGGGUAGCCGGCCUGAGAGGGUGACCGGCCACAUUGGGACUGAGAUACGGCCCAGACUCCUACGGGAGGCAGCAGUGGGGAAUAUUGCACAAUGGGCGGAAGCCUGAUGCAGCAACGCCGCGUGCGGGAUGACGGCCUUCGGGUUGUAAACCGCUUUCGCCUGUGACGAAGCGUGAGUGACGGUAAUGGGUAAAGAAGCACCGGCUAACUACGUGCCAGCAGCCGCGGUGAUACGUAGGGUGCGAGCGUUGUCCGGAUUUAUUGGGCGUAAAGGGCUCGUAGGUGGUUGAUCGCGUCGGAAGUGUAAUCUUGGGGCUUAACCCUGAGCGUGCUUUCGAUACGGGUUGACUUGAGGAAGGUAGGGGAGAAUGGAAUUCCUGGUGGAGCGGUGGAAUGCGCAGAUAUCAGGAGGAACACCAGUGGCGAAGGCGGUUCUCUGGGCCUUUCCUGACGCUGAGGAGCGAAAGCGUGGGGAGCGAACAGGCUUAGAUACCCUGGUAGUCCACGCUGUAAACGGUGGGUACUAGGUGUGGGGUCCAUUCCACGGGUUCCGCGCCGUAGCUAACGCUUUAAGUACCCCGCCUGGGGAGUACGGCCGCAAGGCUAAAACUCAAAGGAAUUGACGGGGCCCCGCACAAGCGGCGGAGCAUGCGGAUUAAUUCGAUGCAACGCGUAGAACCUUACCUGGGUUUGACAUGGAUCGGGAGUGCUCAGAGAUGGGUGUGCCUCUUUUGGGGUCGGUUCACAGGUGGUGCAUGGCUGUCGUCAGCUCGUGUCGUGAGAUGUUGGGUUAAGUCCCGCAACGAGCGCAACCCUUGUUCACUGUUGCCAGCACGUUAUGGUGGGGACUCAGUGGAGACCGCCGGGGUCAACUCGGAGGAAGGUGGGGAUGACGUCAAGUCAUCAUGCCCCUUAUGUCCAGGGCUUCACGCAUGCUACAAUGGCUGGUACAGAGAGUGGCGAGCCUGUGAGGGUGAGCGAAUCUCGGAAAGCCGGUCUCAGUUCGGAUUGGGGUCUGCAACUCGACCUCAUGAAGUCGGAGUCGCUAGUAAUCGCAGAUCAGCAACGCUGCGGUGAAUACGUUCCCGGGGCUUGUACACACCGCCCGUCAAGUCAUGAAAGUUGGUAAC